rnacentral:tRNA from 1 species
GCGCCCGUAGCUCAGCCGGAUAGAGUCGCAGACUUCGAAUCUGUUGGUCGUAGGUUCGAAUCCUACCGGGCGUGCCA